rnacentral:rRNA from 1 species
GCGAGUGAAGCGGGAAAAGCUCAAAUUUAAAAUCUGGCGGUCUUUGGCCGUCCGAGUUGUAAUUUAGAGAAGUGCCUUCCGCGCCAGACCGUGCACAAGUCUCCUGGAAUGGAGCGUCAUAGAGGGUGAGAAUCCCGUCUUUGGCAUGGACGCUUGGUGCUUCUGUGAUGCGCUCUCGAAGAGUCGAGUUGUUUGGGAAUGCAGCUCAAAAUGGGUGGUGAACUCCAUCUAAAGCUAAAUAUUGGCGAGAGACCGAUAGCGAACAAGUACCGUGAGGGAAAGAUGAAAAGCACUUUGGAAAGAGAGUGAAACAGUACGUGAAAUUGUUGAAAGGGAAACGCUUGAAGUCAGUCGCGUCGACCGAGACUCAGCCUUGCCUUGGCUUGGUGUUCUUCUCGGCUGACGGGCCAGCAUCAAUUUUGUCCCUCGGAUAAUGGCAAGGGAAAGGUGGCACCCUCACGGGUGUGUUAUAGUCUCUUGUCGCAUGCGAGGGGUGGGAUUGAGGAACUCAGCACGCGCCUUUGGGUGUCGGGGCUUCGGCCCACGUUACGUGCUUAGGAUGUUGGCGUAA